ACUCAUAGUUAUUAUGUUACGUAUUUUAUUGUUUGUGGCCACGUAAAAGAUAUUAAGAACACUCUAAAUGGAAACGCAAGUAAACGCACAUGUUUUAGGGUCUUUUCAUUUAAACUUGGCUCAGUUUGUGAGCUACUUAGCGUGCUAGCUAGUUGGGAGCUAAAUGCUAGCGCAACGACAGACUGUUACAGGUGGACAGUGGAAACAUACAUGUUGCAGUUUCUGACUGAAUUAGUGUGUUUCGGCGGCCGCAGCUCAAACGGUUUGAAAGCGGUGGCUAACAGCGUUCUGGACCCCAAAAAGCUAGGACAGCGAAUGAAGCCCAUAAAACGUCCGAUAGGGAGAAGGAACUGUCCGCUUGUCAGCAACAGGCUGAGGGGAGUCAGGGGAACAUCGGUGUUGAUGCUAGAGGGGUUACCAUCAGCUCUGAUGUCAGAAUGCUGUCUUUACUGGCUGUCCCUUCGCUGUGGACUUGGCUGGGCUCCCCGAUGAAAAUCCACAGCUUCAUCCAUCAGAGCAGCUAUACAUUAUGUCACUGAGUCAUUACGGCAUCUCAGGACAUGUCCUCUUCUGAACCCGGCUCCAGAAAGAGCAACUCGAUGGAGAGGUUAAGAGCAACAAAUUAUCAGAUUUCACAUACACCUCUGUGGCCUGGGUGUGUUAACAGAAGGAUGCGCCCGUGUUUGCCGUCGGUCCCUGGGUCAGACAGGAAGUUGGCCAGACUGCGGUCAGUCCGAGACCUUUCGACUGGGUGCGAGGAAGACCUGCUGACAUCACCGUUGCAGAAUUGGAGAGACACAAUUAGAAGCCCUGGCCGGAAAGCAGGUCUGACCGGCUGGACGCUGAGACGAGACAGGCUCGCCGGGCGGUUCCUCUCCCUCCUCGUCUCUGAAGGCCCCUUGGCGAGACGCAGGCGGCCCGGGACGUCAGGCCCAGGCGGAGAGGCAAUCUGUCUCAGCGCAGUUGGCUGACGGAACGAUCCAAACACGUGGCAUCUCUCUGCGCUGAGCCGCGCGUGCUCCCACAGGGAGAAACAGGAAGGUUGGCAGCAGGUACGGUGGUCUGAAAUCGGGACGCGGCCGCCCAGCAUUGUUGCUGCGUUCUUAGUAGUAGUGGGAAAAGUCUGGAGACUUUACUUACUGUACAUCUUUUGCAUUUCUACUGGCUUAAAAAGGAAUGAAACGAGCUGAGCUGUCAGUCAGAGUGAGCGUUGUGAGAUCUGACAAAGCAGCACCGGCUGAAAUUACAAAACGAGCCCCAGCCUCCUCUGUCAACAGAUUGAGACAAAUAGACGCAAAUGUGUUUUCCACAAUCCAUGGGGUCAAACGACAGUCCUGACUGCGUAUAAAUGCCUAUAUUUAGGACAGUGCCUUGUACUGCCUCUAGCACCACAUUAACCUGUGACCUCUAACUAGGCACUAAGCUCCUGGUGGUUUACAGCUGGGACGACUACCUUGUGGCCUCAGAGCGGUGAUAAUAUAUCAGUUGGAAAUACUUAACACAUGACUCAGGAGGGAGAUACUCUAAUCAGAAAACCACUGCAGUGGAGUUGAAACACUGUAGUCAUCAACAGCUCUUUGCUUUAAAGUGAUGUCUUCCUACUGAAUUAACAAUAAAUGUAAGUAAAUAAAUAAAACCAAGCCGCUUCCCUAAAUCUGGUUCAAAUCUGGUUUCAUGUGCUUUAUUUCUAUGAGCGUCUAAUUGGGCGACUGGUGUUUGACACCCACGCGACAGGUGUUUGUAUUUGCCAUCCGGAAAACCCGCAGUAGGUUUAUUUAGGUUUUCACACCCGGGCGACAUCCGCCAUCUACGCAAGUCCUCUCCAACAGGAGGAAGGCGUCACGGCAGCGACUCGCGCUUCUGUCGGCCCGGCCGAGGCCCUGGACGAGACCCGGCCCAGCUGUAAAACGACACAACGCCUCAAGUAGCUCCUCACCAGCCAUCAA